rnacentral:rRNA from 1 species
AGAGUUUGAUCCUGGCUCAGGACGAACGCUGGCGGCGUGCCUAAUACAUGCAAGUAGAACGCUGAAGAGAGGAGCUUGCUCUUCUUGGAUGAGUUGCGAACGGGUGAGUAACGCGUAGGUAACCUGCCUUGUAGCGGGGGAUAACUAUUGGAAACGAUAGCUAAUACCGCAUAACAAUGGAUGACACAUGUCAUUUAUUUGAAAGGGGCAAUUGCUCCACUACAAGAUGGACCUGCGUUGUAUUAGCUAGUAGGUGAGGUAAUGGCUCACCUAGGCGACGAUACAUAGCCGACCUGAGAGGGUGAUCGGCCACACUGGGACUGAGACACGGCCCAGACUCCUACGGGAGGCAGCAGUAGGGAAUCUUCGGCAAUGGGGGCAACCCUGACCGAGCAACGCCGCGUGAGUGAAGAAGGUUUUCGGAUCGUAAAGCUCUGUUGUAAGUCAAGAACGGGUGUGAGAGUGGAAAGUUCACACUGUGACGGUAGCUUACCAGAAAGGGACGGCUAACUACGUGCCAGCAGCCGCGGUAAUACGUAGGUCCCGAGCGUUGUCCGGAUUUAUUGGGCGUAAAGCGAGCGCAGGCGGUUUGAUAAGUCUGAAGUUAAAGGCUGUGGCUCAACCAUAGUUCGCUUUGGAAACUGUCAAACUUGAGUGCAGAAGGGGAGAGUGGAAUUCCAUGUGUAGCGGUGAAAUGCGUAGAUAUAUGGAGGAACACCGGUGGCGAAAGCGGCUCUCUGGUCUGUAACUGACGCUGAGGCUCGAAAGCGUGGGGAGCGAACAGGAUUAGAUACCCUGGUAGUCCACGCCGUAAACGAUGAGUGCUAGGUGUUGGAUCCUUUCCGGGAUUCAGUGCCGCAGCUAACGCAUUAAGCACUCCGCCUGGGGAGUACGACCGCAAGGUUGAAACUCAAAGGAAUUGACGGGGGCCCGCACAAGCGGUGGAGCAUGUGGUUUAAUUCGAAGCAACGCGAAGAACCUUACCAGGUCUUGACAUCCCGAUGCUAUUUCUAGAGAUAGAAAGUUACUUCGGUACAUCGGUGACAGGUGGUGCAUGGUUGUCGUCAGCUCGUGUCGUGAGAUGUUGGGUUAAGUCCCGCAACGAGCGCAACCCCUAUUGUUAGUUGCCAUCAUUCAGUUGGGCACUCUAGCGAGACUGCCGGUAAUAAACCGGAGGAAGGUGGGGAUGACGUCAAAUCAUCAUGCCCCUUAUGACCUGGGCUACACACGUGCUACAAUGGUUGGUACAACGAGUUGCGAGUCGGUGACGGCGAGCUAAUCUCUUAAAGCCAAUCUCAGUUCGGAUUGUAGGCUGCAACUCGCCUACAUGAAGUCGGAAUCGCUAGUAAUCGCGGAUCGGCACGCCGCGGUGAAUACGUUCCCGGGCCUUGUACACACCGCCCGUCACACCACGAGAGUUUGUAACACCCGAAGUCGGUGAGGUAACCUUUUGGAGCCAGCCGCCUAAGGUGGGACAGAUGAUUGGGGUGAAGUCGUAACAAGGUA